rnacentral:rRNA from 1 species
ACGGGAGGCAGCAGUGGGGAAUAUUGCACAAUGGGGGAAACCCUGAUGCAGCGAUGCCGCGUGGAGGAAGACGGUUUUCGGAUUGUAAACUCCUGUCUUAAAGGACGAUAAUGACGGUACUUUAGGUGGCAGCUCCGGCUAACUACGUGCCAGCAGCCGCGGUAAUACGUAGGGAGCGAGCGUUGUCCGGAAUUACUGGGUGUAAAGGGAGCGUAGGCGGGACUGCAAGUCAGAUGUGAAAUGCCGGGGCGUAACACCGGAGCUGCAUUUGAAACUGGGGUGCUUGAGUGAAGUAGAGGCAAGCGGAAUUCCUGGUGUAGCGGUGAAAUGCGUAGAUAUCAGGAGGAACACCGGUGGCGAAGGCGGCUUGCUGGGCUUUUACUGACGCUGAGGCUCGAAAGCGUGGGUAGCAAACAGGAUUAGAUACCCUGGUA